GACGAACGCUGGCGGCGUGCUUAACACAUGCGAGUCGAACGGAAAGGCCCUGAUUUUGUGGGGUGCUCGAGUGGCGAAGGGGUGAGUAACACGUGAGUAACCUGCCCUUGACUUUGGGAUAACUUCAGGAAAGUGGGGCUAAUACAGGAUAGGAGAUCCUGCUGCAUGGAGGGGGUUGGAAAGUUUCUGCUGUUGGGGCUGGAUUCGCGGCUUAUCAGCUUGCUGGUGGGGGAGGGGCUGACCAAGUCAUGGACGGGUAGCCGGCCUGAGAGCGUGACCGGCCACAUUGGGACUGAGAUACGGCCCAGACGCCAAUGGGAGGCAGCAGUGGGGAGUAUUGCACAGUGGGCGGAAGCCUGAUGCAGCAACGCCGCGUGCGUGAUGACGGCCUGCGGGUUGUAAACCGCUUUCGCCUGUGACGAAGCGUGAGUGACGGUAACGGGUAAAGAAGCACCGGCUAACUACGUG
rnacentral:rRNA from 1 species